UCUGCGAGGAGACGGGACCAGUGAGACAGGCAGGACCGGGUGGAGGCGCCUCUACGAGCAGGAGGAGGGGAAGGAAGAUGGGGCAAGACACGGGGAGGCUGCAGAGGAGCAGCAGGGUGGGGUUUCGAGAGAAUGGACCCUGCAGAAAGGAGCAGCAGAAACUAGCGCUGGAAGGCUCGAAAAAGGGGCCCUGGAAAGGACUGAGCGGGGACAGGAAAUUUCAAGGGGCAGGAGAGGCUGGGCAAAAGAGCCCGUGUAAACACGGGGUGGCCUAUGCCCAGGAUUAGGGACAGGUAGGACUGGAAGGAGAGAAGAGGACCGUCGAGGGAAAAGGCUCACAAGUCCCUGGGAGGACAGGGCAUGGGCUUACAGAGAGGAGAGGGGGUACGGGCAGUGGCUGCUCGUGUCCUCUGCCACCCUGCCCACUGUCCAGGGGACUUCAACACAACCGAGGGGACAGGUUUGUGUGGGGUCAGGUCUGAUAGAAGAGAGGAGCAGGAGAAACAAAUCGUUAAAACCUAGCGAAUUCCCCUAAGAAAACAUUUCUUCCUCCUUUCCUUCCGGAGGCUCCUUGGUUGGUGGGGAAAUAGGA